rnacentral:lncRNA from 1 species
CAGCCCCAGAGGGAGGCCACCCGGCGGCAGGCGCUGCCCGGGGUCUCGUCGGGGCUGCUGGGAGCGGCCGGGGUUUGUGCCGCCGCCGUUCCGGAGGCUGAGCAGGGCGACCUGACCCGCUUCCGUGCCCGGGAAGGGUCUGGGGCGCGAGGCUGCCAGUGGCCGGAGUCGGAAACCAGGGUCGGUUUGCCCACGGGGCAGCCGUUGCAAUAUCCGAGCUCGGGCUCCCAGUCCGGGAUCCGAGGAGUUAGGUGCCAGCUGGAGAUGUCCCUCCGGGACCCGCACCCUUCUCCAGUUACAAAUCCGGGUGACUGACGGCAGGCCCAGGGGCUCCCCGACCGCCCUUCUCUCAACCCCUCGACUCGGGGCGCGGGGGGGUGUGUGUCCCUCGGGGAGCCGGUGCCCGAGGACUGCUUUGGUCCCGGCUCUGGGCGGUGGCGGCGCGCGAAAGCGCUCUUGCAGCGGAGCGACUGCGCCGCGGGAGCGCACAGAACCAGCGCCCAGGCGGAGUGGGUUAGUGGUGAGGGGUGGGUGCCAGGCUAGUCCGGGCCUUGGGGGAGUCCCCGGAGUCCCCGUGGCUUUCCAGCUCCAGGCUCGGGAGAGGGUGACCUUGGAGCCGGGAUUUCACUUCUACAGCGCUGUGGUGCCGGGGGGACAGGGAGAAGGGCUCCCUGGCCCCCAGUUCACGAGGAGAAGGGGCCUUGACCGGUCAGGACCACCACCCUACGACGCCGCUCAGCUCUGGGCGAUUCUCUCCUCCCUUGCUGAAGCAGGCAUUGAGAGCCUGCGUUCCUCCCGCUCUGGAUUGUUGAAGAGAAUCAACAAGAUGAUAUCCCUGAAGCACUGGGAAUAGUGUCUGGCACACAGCACUCUCCCAGGAGCACACCGCGGCGCUAGAGAAGACCAGGAAAAAGGACCUGAGCCAGCUUGCCGUCUUAACAAAAAUUUCAAACUUUGCAAAGCGGUAUACCUUCUUAUUCUCCAGUUCAGUAUUGCCAGUGAAGUCAUACUGAACGCAGACAAGGAAAAGAAAGAAAAAGAAACUCAAUGAGAUAUGUUGUCAUCUUCCCUGUUUUAUGGAUGAAGUUCUAAGUAGAGGUUCGGAGAAGAUGUUCAGCCUCAGAACGUAGCCACCUUGCUGUGAGAAAGCCCAACCAUCUUGUACAGCGAGACCACAUGGAGAGGCGCAUGUGGAAAGGAACGGAGGCUACAAGCCGAUAGCCAGCAUCGACUGCCAGGCACGGAGAGUGAGUCUUCAGAUGAAUCCAGCCUCAGCCUAGAGUCUUUUGUCUCAGGCCCCAGACACUGUGGAGCAGGGACAAGCCAUCCCCACUGUGUCCCACCCGCAUUCCUGAUCCACAGAAUCUAUGAGCACAAUAAAUAGUUGCUUUAUGGCAGAGAAACUGG